rnacentral:lncRNA from 1 species
AGUCGAUAAGGACUCAUCUGUGAUUGUGCACGACAAGUGAUCUGAGACUCGUAGCAGGACAAAGACCCAACCUGUGUGUGGACAGAGGGCAUCUUUUAUCAUGAUGGCCCACGUGAAGAAGUUUCAGCAAAUUCCAAUGUCAAAGUCAAUGAGAGGUUUAUGCAAAGAGGAGGACUUCGAAUUUUUAGAUAAGUCUGACCAAAAUGCAAAAGAAGGAAGAGUAGCAGCGAUGGCUUUGGAGUACGACCGGAUUGACAGGAAAGAAGAGAGGGUCCGCCGACGACUGGAGAGAGAGCAGCAGGAACAACAGAAACUGAGAAAGAUAGAAGAGAGCAAAAAGGCCAAAGAGCAGCAGUGGCAGACUCACAUAGCAGAACUAACCUCCAGCCAGGAGAAGACGCUGCAAGGCAGACUGGAUCGACUUCGCAAAUUCCGUGCCUUUCAGAGAAAAGUGUUACAAGAAGAGGCCGGGAUGGAGAACGAGGCAGAUGGUGUCACUCACUCCUGACCAGCUCCUCAACAAGAUGUAAACAGCUUCCAUGGCAAACACUGCUUUAAAUCACCCAUGACAGAUUACUUUUGGCCUAUGUGUUGUUUGUACUAGGUGGGCAAGUGUAAUUAGCAUUUAAAUCAAUUGGAAAUACAGAGCACAGGCUUAGACCAAUAGCACAUUUAUAAAAUAACAUAAUGGGCUUCUGCACCGUCUGAAGAUAUGCUUUUCACUCACAAAAUCCAGUGUUGUUUUUGGAAAUCCCAAGCAUUGACCGUGUUAUCCAAUUGCAGGCAUGUGUACCUCCAGUCAUGGUGUAGCUGUAGCUCUAUUUGAACACAUUGGGCUUUGUGUUCUAUGUAACAUAUGCUACUAACAAUAGCUAUUGAUGUUACCAUUUCAUUCAUCUGUUAUAGGUAGCCGUAAACUAGUGUCAAAUCAUUGAUAUAUUAAUGUCCAAACCUUACUUUUGGGUUUUAUGUACAGUGCAUGAAACAAACUCAUGAUGACAAACAUGACAACAAACUCAUACAGUACACAAUGUACUGUACUUUACAGAGGAUUUCACCUUCUCUAAAAGCUUAUGUGGCUGCCUGGAUGUGUAGUCGUGGCAUGAAGUUUGAGUUGAGGCGAAUCAGGACAGGCCAGGAAUUAGCCAGAGGCGCAAAACACAAAGACUUAAAAACAAUGUAACUACACCACAGGAAGCUGUGUGAAGCUGUCUUUUAAAUGUGUGCGGUGGCAGAGGGUAUCCAGCACUGGGU